GACGAACGCUGGCGGCGUGCUUAACACAUGCCAGUCGAACGGAAAGGCCCUGCUUUUGUGGGGUGCUCGAGUGGCGAACGGGUGAGUAACACGUGAGUAACGUGCCCUUGACUUUGGGAUAACUUCAGGAAACUGGGGCUAAUACCGGAUAGGAGCUCCUGCUGCAUGGUGGGGGUUGGAAAGUUUCGGCGGUUGGGGAUGGACUCGCGGCUUAUCAGCUUGUUGGUGGGGUAGUGGCUUACCAAGGCUUUGACGGGUAGCCGGCCUGAGAGGGUGACCGGCCACAUUGGGACUGAGAUACGGCCCAGACUCCUACGGGAGGCAGCAGUGGUGAAUAUUGCACAAUGGGCGGAAGCCUGAUGCAGCAACGCCGCGUGCGGGAUGACGGCCUUCGGGUUGUAAACCGCUUUCGCCUGUGACGAAGCGUGAGUGACGGUAAUGGGUAAAGAAGCACCGGCUAACUACGUG
rnacentral:rRNA from 1 species